rnacentral:rRNA from 1 species
CCCUUAGAUGUCCUGGGCCGCACGCGCGCUACACUGAUGCAUGCAACGAGUUUAUAACCUUGGCCUGAAAGGUCUGGGUAAUCCUUUGAACGUGCAUCGUGAUAGGGAUAGAUUAUUGCAAUUGUUAAUCUUGAACGAGGAAUUCCUAGUAAACGCGAGUCAUCAGCUCGCAUUGAUUACGUCCCUGCCCUUUGUACACACCGCCCGUCGCACCUACCGAUUGAAUGGUUCGGUGAAGAUCUCGGACUUCGAUAUUUAUUCUUUAUUGAGUUUAUAUUGUGGGAAGUUAUCUAAACCUCAUCAUUUAGAGGAAGGUGAAGUCGUAACA